rnacentral:rRNA from 1 species
UUAAGCGACUAAGCGUACACGGUGGAUGCCCUGGCAGUCAGAGGCGAUGAAGGACGUGCUAAUCUGCGAUAAGCGUCGGUAAGGUGAUAUGAACCGUUAUAACCGGCGAUUUCCGAAUGGGGAAACCCAGUGUGAUUCGUCACACUAUCAUUAACUGAAUCCAUAGGUUAAUGAGGCGAACCGGGGGAACUGAAACAUCUAAGUACCCCGAGGAAAAGAAAUCAACCGAGAUUCCCCCAGUAGCGGCGAGCGAACGGGGAGCAGCCCAGAGCCUGAAUCAGUGUGUGUGUUAGUGGAAGCGUCUGGAAAGGCGCGCGAUACAGGGUGACAGCCCCGUACACAAAAAUGCACAUGCUGUGAGCUCGAUGAGUAGGGCGGGACACGUGGUAUCCUGUCUGAAUAUGGGGGGACCAUCCUCCAAGGCUAAAUACUCCUGACUGACCGAUAGUGAACCAGUACCGUGAGGGAAAGGCGAAAAGAACCCCGGCGAGGGGAGUGAAAAAGAACCUGAAACCGUGUACGUACAAGCAGUGGGAGCACGCUUAGGCGUGUGACUGCGUACCUUUUGUAUAAUGGGUCAGCGACUUAUAUUCUGUAGCAAGGUUAACCGAAUAGGGGAGCCGAAGGGAAACCGAGUCUUAACUGGGCGUUAAGUUGCAGGGUAUAGACCCGAAACCCGGUGAUCUAGCCAUGGGCAGGUUGAAGGUUGGGUAACACUAACUGGAGGACCGAACCGACUAAUGUUGAAAAAUUAGCGGAUGACUUGUGGCUGGGGGUGAAAGGCCAAUCAAACCGGGAGAUAGCUGGUUCUCCCCGAAAGCUAUUUAGGUAGCGCCUCGUGAAUUCAUCUCCGGGGGUAGAGCACUGUUUCGGCAAGGGGGUCAUCCCGACUUACCAACCCGAUGCAAACUGCGAAUACCGGAGAAUGUUAUCACGGGAGACACACGGCGGGUGCUAACGUCCGUCGUGAAGAGGGAAACAACCCAGACCGCCAGCUAAGGUCCCAAAGUCAUGGUUAAGUGGGAAACGAUGUGGGAAGGCCCAGACAGCCAGGAUGUUGGCUUAGAAGCAGCCAUCAUUUAAAGAAAGCGUAAUAGCUCACUGGUCGAGUCGGCCUGCGCGGAAGAUGUAACGGGGCUAAACCAUGCACCGAAGCUGCGGCAGCGACACUGUGUGUUGUUGGGUAGGGGAGCGUUCUGUAAGCCUGCGAAGGUGUGCUGUGAGGCAUGCUGGAGGUAUCAGAAGUGCGAAUGCUGACAUAAGUAACGAUAAAGCGGGUGAAAAGCCCGCUCGCCGGAAGACCAAGGGUUCCUGUCCAACGUUAAUCGGGGCAGGGUGAGUCGACCCCUAAGGCGAGGCCGAAAGGCGUAGUCGAUGGGAAACAGGUUAAUAUUCCUGUACUUGGUGUUACUGCGAAGGGGGGACGGAGAAGGCUAUGUUGGCCGGGCGACGGUUGUCCCGGUUUAAGCGUGUAGGCUGGUUUUCCAGGCAAAUCCGGAAAAUCAAGGCUGAGGCGUGAUGACGAGGCACUACGGUGCUGAAGCAACAAAUGCCCUGCUUCCAGGAAAAGCCUCUAAGCAUCAGGUAACAUCAAAUCGUACCCCAAACCGACACAGGUGGUCUGGUAGAGAAUACCAAGGCGCUUGAGAGAACUCGGGUGAAGGAACUAGGCAAAAUGGUGCCGUAACUUCGGGAGAAGGCACGCUGAUAUGUAGGUGAAGUCCCUCGCGGAUGGAGCUGAAAUCAGUCGAAGAUACCAGCUGGCUGCAACUGUUUAUUAAAAACACAGCACUGUGCAAACACGAAAGUGGACGUAUACGGUGUGACGCCUGCCCGGUGCCGGAAGGUUAAUUGAUGGGGUCAGCGCAAGCGAAGCUCUUGAUCGAAGCCCCGGUAAACGGCGGCCGUAACUAUAACGGUCCUAAGGUAGCGAAAUUCCUUGUCGGGUAAGUUCCGACCUGCACGAAUGGUGUAAUGAUGGCCAGGCUGUCUCCACCCGAGACUCAGUGAAAUUGAACUCGCUGUGAAGAUGCAGUGUACCCGCGGCAAGACGGAAAGACCCCGUGAACCUUUACUAUAGCUUGACACUGAACAUUGAGCCUUGAUGUGUAGGAUAGGUGGGAGGCUUUGAAGUGUGGACGCCAGUCUGCAUGGAGCCGACCUUGAAAUACCACCCUUUAAUGUUUGAUGUUCUAACGUUGACCCGUGAUCCGGGUUGCGGACAGUGUCUGGUGGGUAGUUUGACUGGGGCGGUCUCCUCCUAAAGAGUAACGGAGGAGCACGAAGGUUGGCUAAUCCUGGUCGGACAUCAGGAGGUUAGUGCAAUGGCAUAAGCCAGCUUGACUGCGAGCGUGACGGCGCGAGCAGGUGCGAAAGCAGGUCAUAGUGAUCCGGUGGUUCUGAAUGGAAGGGCCAUCGCUCAACGGAUAAAAGGUACUCCGGGGAUAACAGGCUGAUACCGCCCAAGAGUUCAUAUCGACGGCGGUGUUUGGCACCUCGAUGUCGGCUCAUCACAUCCUGGGGCUGAAGUAGGUCCCAAGGGUAUGGCUGUUCGCCAUUUAAAGUGGUACGCGAGCUGGGUUUAGAACGUCGUGAGACAGUUCGGUCCCUAUCUGCCGUGGGCGCUGGAGAACUGAGGGGGGCUGCUCCUAGUACGAGAGGACCGGAGUGGACGCAUCACUGGUGUUCGGGUUGUCAUGCCAAUGGCACUGCCCGGUAGCUAAAUGCGGAAGAGAUAAGUGCUGAAAGCAUCUAAGCACGAAACUUGCCCCGAGAUGAGUUCUCCCUGACUCCUUGAGAGUCCUGAAGGAACGUUGAAGACGACGACGUUGAUAGGCCGGGUGUGUAAGCGCAGCGAUGCGUUGAGCUAACCGGUACUAAUGAACCGUGAGGCUUAACCUU